GACAGAGGGUGCAAACGUUGUUCGGAAUUACUGGGCGUAAAGCGCGUGUAGGCGGCUGGGCAAGUCGGAUGUGAAGGCCCUGGGCUCAACCGAGGAAGUGCAUUCGAAACUGCCGAGCUGGAGUUCUGGAGAGGAAGGCGGAAUUCUCGGUGUAGAGGUGAAAUUCGUAGAUAUCGAGAGGAACACCGGUGGCGAAGGCGGCCUUCUGGACAGAAACUGACGCUGAGACGCGAAAGCGUGGGGAGCAAACAGG
rnacentral:rRNA from 1 species